ensembl:snoRNA SNORA74 Small nucleolar RNA SNORA74
CUCAGCAGUAGACAAAUGCCUAGGUUGCACUGUACCUAGGCAAGUGUUACACUGCUGGGAGAAAAACAGCUAAUAGCUGGCACGCAUUCUGGGCGUGGUUAAUGCCAAACUUGUGUUAACUAUACAGUGUGCCAGCACAGUUGCCUUUUUCUUUUAAAGGCAUGUGGGUGGCAGACAUG